rnacentral:lncRNA from 1 species
GAAAUGGGCUGAGUCCCUCUUGCUCACCCUUGACUUGGAAAAACCAGUUUCUCUUUUAUUGUCUGUUACUAAUCUCUAUUCUAAAAAUUCAGCUCAAUUCUCAACCAUACUCCAAACUCUCUCUUUUCCAGCUACCUUUACUCCCUCUCCUUCAAUUCCACUUUCCUCUGCUUACUUUUUUUUUUUUUCUGACAGGGUCUCACUUUGUCGCCCGGGCAGGAGUGCAGUGGCUCAAUCUUGGGCUCACUGCAGCCUCAACCUCCCAGAGGCGGGGUUUCACCAUGUUGCCCAGACUGGUCUUGAACUCCUGAGCUUAAGCAAUCCACCUGCCUCGGCCUCCCAAAGUGUUGGGAUCACAGGCGUGAGCCACCGCAUCCGGCCUCAUGUUCUUUUUCAUUAAAGAGAGAAAUCAACUAUUCAGGACCGGCCCCCACCUUUCCUCAGGAGUCAUUUCUGUUCCGCACAGGCCUGCUGAACUGGGUGCUUUAUAUAGGACACUGUCAUCUCUCAAGUACCCAUCUUGGAGGGUACGGACCCCACAUGAGGGUGAGGCUCUCUGCACACUCCAGAAUUUCAGUGGAGUGAAGUUCAGGAGGCAUGGAGCUGACAACCAUGAGGCCUCGGCAGCCACCGCCACCACCGCCGCCGCCACCACCGUAGCAGCAGCAGCAGCAGCAGCAGCAGCAGCAGCAGCAGCAAGAGUAACUCUGACUUAGGAAUAGAGACAGCCAGAGAGAAAUGUGAUCAAUGAAGGAGACAUCUGGAGUGUGCGUGCUUCUUCAGAGGGACGGGUGAUGGGCAGAUUGGAAAAAGCACCGCAGAUGGGAACCUUAAUCUUUCUUUUCUAAAAUUGAUGCUAUGAAAAUUUGCGUUUUCUGUAACUUGUAAAAACUAAAAGUUGCUUGUCUACUGAAAA